AACCGCCGCUGGUCUAGAGCUUCCGGAAGUUCACAUCGUCUUCAACUAAAGAAACAAAACACAGACAGGAAGAUAGUUAUUCUGACUCUCUACACUAGUAAAAAAAAAUUAUAAACUCAAAGUGGAAGUGAACCGAUACAAGGACUUCCAACAG